UGGGGAAUAUUGCACAAUGGGCGCAAGCCUGAUGCAGCCAUGCCGCGUGUAUGAAGAAGGCCUUCGGGUUGUAAAGUACUUUCAGCGGGGAGGAAGGUGUUGAGGUUAAUAACCUCAGCAAUUGACGUUACCCGCAGAAGAAGCACCGGCUAACUCCGUGCCCGCAGCCGCGGUAAUACGGAGGGUGCAAGCGUUAAUUGGAAUUACUGGGCGUAAAGCGCACGCAGGCGGUCUGUCAAGUCGGAUGUGAAAUCCCCGGGCUCAACCUGGGAACUGCAUUCGAAACUGGCAGGCUAGAGUCUUGUAGAGGGGGGUAGAAUUCCAGGUGUAGCGGUGAAAUGCGUAGAGAUCUGGAGGAAUACCGGUGGCGAAGGCGGCCCCCUGGACAAAGACUGACGCUCAGGUGCGAAAGCGUGGGGAGCAAACA
rnacentral:rRNA from 1 species